rnacentral:rRNA from 1 species
UACCAGCACCCCGAGUGGUCGGGACGAUUAUUGGGCCUAAAGCAUCCGUAGCCGGUUCUGCAAGUCCCCCGUUAAAUCCACUGCUCAACAGAUGGGCCGCGGAGGAUACUACAGAGACUAGGAGGCAGGAGAGGCAAGCGGUACUCAGUGGGUAGGGGUAAAAUCCGUUGAUCCAUUGAAGACCACCAGUGGCGAAGGCGGCUUGCCAGAAUGCGCUCGACGGUGAGGGAUGAAAGCUGGGGGAGCAAACCGG